UUUCCGUAGGUGAACCUGCGGCAGGAUCAUCAUCGAGUUUUGACUGGGUUGUAUCUGGUCUUCCGAGGCAUGCGGACGCACUGCUCGUCCAAUCUACACGUGUGCACUUACUGCGGGUAUCAGUUAGUGAAGCGUGCUCUUUUACCGGAGCUGGUGAAGCGUGUCUGGGACUGCGUUUAUCAUAAGCACUAUAAAGUAUCAGUAAGUGUAUUACGAUGUAACGCAUCUAUAUACAACUUUCAGCAACGGAUCUGUUGGCUCUCGCAUCGAUGAGGAAC
rnacentral:misc_RNA from 1 species